rnacentral:sRNA from 1 species
CCAUCUUGAUCGCUGAAUCCGUGUGGAACGGGGGAACCAGAAUUGUAACAAACAUUUUGUUACUAGGGGUGAAUCCUUCAUGAUGAAGGCAGGGUUACUUCUGUACCCGAACCCGACAGCUAACCUCGUAAGCGUUAAGGAGAGGAUGU